GAUAGCUAUGAAGCGUGAGGUUGCUACCGGUUUAAACGGUAGGUUUUCCGUGGAGCGAAUGUCAAGUUACUAAAACUGACGGCAA
rnacentral:ncRNA from 1 species